GACAGAGGGGGCAAGCGUUGCUCGGAAUCACUGGGCGUAAAGGGCUCGUAGGCGGCCAUCUAAGUCGGACGUGAAAUCCCUCGGCUUAACCGGGGAACUGCGUCCGAUACUGCCGUGCUUGAGGACUGGAGAGGAGACUGGAAUUUACGGUGUAGCGGUGAAAUGCGUAGAUAUCGUAAGGAAGACCAGUGGCGAAGGCGGGUCUCUGGACAGUUCCUGACGCUGAGGCACGAAGGUCAGGGGAGCAAACGGG
rnacentral:rRNA from 1 species